rnacentral:rRNA from 1 species
GACAGAGGUGCCGAGCGUUAGGCGGAAUCACUGGGCUUAAAGCGCACGUAGGCGGACUCGCAGGUCAAUUGUGAAAUACCCGGGCUCAACCUGGGAACUGCAGUUGAAACCGCUUGUCUUGAAUACCUGAGAGGGUGGGGGAAUACCUGGUGGAGAAGUGAAAUUCGUAGAGAUCAGGUGGAACACCGGAGGCGAAGGCGCCUGCCUGGCAGUGUAUUGACGCUGAGGUGCGAAAGUGCGGGGAGCAAACAGG